CGCACAUUGCGCCCGCCAGUAUUCUGGCGGGCAUGCCUGUCUGAGCGUCAUUUCAACCCUCGCGACCAGCUUGCUGGAUGCGGUGUUGGGGAUCGGCCACCCGUAACUGGGAGGCCGUCCCCUAAAUAGAGUGGCGGUCCCGCUGUGACCUCCUCUGCGUAGUAGCAAUAUCUCGCAGGCGGAGAGCGGUGUGACCACGCCGUAAAACCCCCAACUCUUCUUUGGUUGACCUCAGAUCAGGUAGGAAUACCCGCUGAACUUAA
rnacentral:misc_RNA from 1 species